rnacentral:rRNA from 1 species
CACGAACCGUACGAACGUUAUUCGGAAUUACUGGGCUUAAAGGGUUUGUAGGCGGCCUUGUAAGUCAGGUGUGAAAGCCCUCGGCUCAACCGAGGAACAGCGCUUGAUACUGCAAGGCUUGAGGGAGACAGGGGUAAGCGGAACUGAUGGUGGAGCGGUGAAAUGCGUUGAUAUCAUCAGGAACACCGGUGGCGAAAGCGGCUUACUGGGUCUCUUCUGACGCUGAGGAACGAAAGCUAGGGUAGCGAACGGGAUUAGAUACC